AUGGGCGCAAGCCUGAUCCCUCCAUGCCGCGUGUGUGAUGAAGGCCUUAGGGUCGUAAAGCACUUUCGCCAGAGAUGAUAAUGACAGUAUCUGGUAAAGAAACCCCGGCUAACUCCGUGCCAGCAGCCGCGGUAAUACGGAGGGGGUUAGCGUUGUUCGGAAUUACUGGGCGUAAAGCGCACGUAGGCGGAUUAGUCAGUCAGAGGUGAAAUCCCAGGGCUCAACCCUGGAACUGCCUUUGAUACUGCUAGUCUUGAGUUCGAGAGAGGUGAGUGGAAUUCCGAGUGUAGAGGUGAAAUUCGUAGAUAUUCGGAGGAACACCAGUGGCGAAGGCGGCUCACUGG
rnacentral:rRNA from 1 species